GUGAGGAAUAUUGCGCAAUGGGGGCAACCCUGACGCAGCGACGCCGCGUGGAGGACGAAGUCUUUCGGGAUGUAAACUCCUGUCAGUGGGGACGAUAAUGACGGUACCCACAGAGGAAGCACCGGCUAACUCCGUGCCAGCAGCCGCGGUAAGACGGAGGGUGCAAGCGUUGUUCGGAAUUACUGGGCGUAAAGCGUAUGUAGGCGGCAAGUUAAGUUCAAUGUUAAAGCCCACGGCUCAACCGAGGAGAUGCAUUGAAUACUGGCUAGCUAGAGGGUGUUAGAGGAAGACGGAAUUCCCAGUGUAGCGGUGAAAUGCGUAGAUAUUGGGAGGAACAUCGGUAGCGAAAGCGGUCUUCUGGGACAUACCUGACGCUGAGGUACGAAAGCGUGGGGAGCAAACGGGAUUAGAAACCCCGGUAGUCC
rnacentral:rRNA from 1 species